CCGAGUGUGGCCCCCUUUCUAUAUAAGAGGGGUACCUCCCGUCCUUUGCAGGCCCUCUAGGGGCUUUUUUGAACUUUGCUUCGGCGGGGUUAGCCCGCCGGAACACCCUCAACAAAAUCUUUUAUGAACUUUGUUGUCUGAGUUGCUUACGAAUAAAUCA
rnacentral:misc_RNA from 1 species